rnacentral:rRNA from 1 species
CGUAGGUGGCUAAGCGUUGUCCGGAAUUAUUGGGCGUAAAGCGCGCGUCAGGUCGGUCCUUUAAGUCUGAUGUGAAAGCCCACGGCUCAACCGUGGAGGGUCAUUGGAAACUGGGGGACUUGAGUGCAGGAGAGAAGAGUUUUGGAAUUCCACGUGUAGCGGUGAAAUGCGUAGAGAUGUGGAGGAACACCAGUGGCGAAGGCGACUCUUUGGCCUGUAACUGACGCUGAGGCGCGAAAGCGUGGGGAGCAAACAGGAUUAGAUACCCUGGUAGUCCACGCCGUAAACGAUGAGUGCUAAGUGUUAGAGGGUUUCCGCCCUUUAGUGCUGCAGUAAACGCAUUAAGCACUCCGCCUGGGGAGUACGGCCGCAAGGCUG